rnacentral:sRNA from 1 species
UUGUUUGUUAAUAAUUUUUUUUGGUUUAAAAAAAUUAUUUUCAGGUUUUCUCUAAUUGCUUAUGUAUUAAAACCCACUUUUUAGAACCAGAAAUGCAAAAGCUAUCCAAGUAGUUAGAAGGUUUUAUAGUCUAUAAUUUGGAAUUACAAGUCUAAAUUAUCUGUCUUUUGUGGUGCAUAUUAUCACCAUUUAUAUUAUAAUGUCAUUCAUUUUUAAAAGUCAAAAUAGCUUAUGGAACAUAUAUUAUAUAUUUAUUUAUAACAUUAAUAUGCUCUUUUACGUAAAUGUAAUGAAAAAGUUAGUAAUAUAAUUGCUUUAUGGUUAUAGAAAAGAAAGUAGAAUAGUACAAGUGUAAUAAAAAAAAAAGGGAAAGUUUUCUUUUCUAUUACAAAAUUGAUUUACAAGCAAAACUUGUUCUUAAGCUCUCUACUCAGCACUGUGAUUUUGUGUCUAUAUCUCUACAUUUUAAAAAGUGUCAUAGAAAUAAAAAAUAUGGGGGGGGGGGGUAGGGUUCUGCUGUAUGCAGUAUUUGAGCCAUUGUUACUCUACUCUCAUGCUCUCCCUUUUUUUGUCUCUCUGGACAUUUUAAGAUUUAUUUAUGAAAUGCCAUUCUAAGCAUGCUAUCUGGCAGGAGUAAACUAAAAUCUCAUACAAUAACAAAUAGGUGUUACAUUCAUGCUGGAAAAAAAUGAACAAAACAAAAAAAAGUACUUUCAAUCUUAGUGGAUUACAUAUUGAGUCACUAUGGGUGGCCUAGCCUCCUUUUAAUGUUAAUAGAGCUCUUUUUAUUAUUUAUGCAUAAUACAAUAUAAAUUUAAAGUUUAUAAUAUGUAAAUAUUAUUGUUUAUACAAUAUACCCAUGCAUUGAAAUAUAAUCUACUGCAUUGAAAUAUAAUCUACUUGUAUAAUUGCAUUUAUAUAUGAUUUCUAGACAUACUACAGGCUACUGUUAGUUAUUUAUGUAAUCAAGUUUGAACCUCAUUCACAAUGUUGAAAAUACAUAAAUAAUAAAAGUAAUACAUUAAUAACACA